GGCAGACAGAGAAAUGGCUACAGAAGACAGACAGAGGAGGGUUCCAUCCUUUGUGUUGCUGAGAUGGAUUUGCAGACUAUCCGGAUUGGCGAGAUGCCGACUGAACUCUGUGCAUUGAGAUGGACUGGCAGUAGGCAUCACAGAUCAAACACACAGAGCUUUCAUGCCACUUUGCACAGAAUCUCUUUGAGGCACUUGACACAUUCAGCUGAGAGUUACUGAAGAGGGCAGGAC